CACUGAAGGUCUCUUUCUCUGGCUCAGGCGAGGAUUUCGUUAACUCGUUAGUGUUCUCCGGCAAAAACAAGAAGUCGUCACCGUCGUUGUCGCCGCCGCUGCAUUUGGAGAUCAAGGACAAGAGGACUAUCCGGCGUGCGAUGUUGGAGGCUAACGUUUUAUGUCCAGUGAAGAAAAUUUCCGGUAGGUUUCUAAGUUAUCAGGUGCGGGAUCUUGCUCUUUCCGGCUAAUAUUCUGGAGGAGGAGGAGGAGGACGAGGAGGAAGAGAUCUGCUAUGGUGAUGUGGAUCACUGUGGAAUGUCGUGGAACGUAUUUGUGACGGAAAAAUCUAACUUCGUCGGUGGCAAAGGAAUGAAGGUCGGCGGCGCCAGAGGAAGUACCGGUCAGAAGAAAAUCAGUGAUUAUUAUAAAAAUAUGUUGAAAUCUAACCCUGGAGAUCCACUUUUGUUAAGGAACUACGGUCAACUCUUACAUCAGGUAGAGAAAGAUGCAGUGAGAGCUGAAGAGUACCAUGGAAGAGCAAUUUAGCGAAUCUAGGAGACGGGGAAGUGUUGUCUCUGUACAAGAAAUUGAUUUGGGAAACCCAAAGAAAUGAAGAUAGAGCCAACGCUUACUUCAAACAAGCCGUUCAAGCAUCUUCUCCUUCUCCUUCGAUUCAGCGACAAAUUUUAGUAACCAAACGUGUUUCAGCGACACAGGGGAAGGGGAGAAGAACGGGGAACAAAUGAAGGGUCUCUUGGACAUUUCACAAGUAAGGGGUAUUUUGGGCAUUAUGAAAAAAAAUAGCUGACUUAACAGCGAUUUCUAACUGUUGCGGUCGUCACAUAGAAUAUUUUAGUUGUAGGGGAGGUGAGUGAUAUUUUAAGAAAGGUGUGGGGUCAAGUUGAUAUUUCGUCAUAGUUUAAGGGAAGGGAGUGAUAUUUAUUCAUAUAUAUAUAUAUAUAUAUAUAUCUUACUAUCAUACGAUCAUGCUAUCAUGUUAUCAUACUAUUAUAUAAAAGCAUGUACUUAUGUUUCAUGGUUAAUAUUUUUUUCGAUUACUUUAACAUUUUUUAUUUAUUUAUUACCUUAUCUUCUUUAUUAUAACUUUUCUUAUUUUUCUUAUUUUAUUUUAUUUUAUUUUAUUUUUAUAUCCUUUGUUUUCUAUUUUUAAUGACUAAACAUUUUUCUAAAAAAUCGUUUCUUUUAUUAUCUCAAAUUCUCAUGCAACCUUCUAUAAAAUAAAAUAGAGAUCUCACGUUUCUUCUCUCUCCUUCUAUAUAUUUUUUUGGUAUAAUUUGUUUUCUCAUUUUGAUGACUACAUAUUUUUCUAAAACAAUAGUUUCUUUUAUUAUCUCAAAUUCUCACCCAAGCUUCUAUAAAAUAAAAUAGAGAUAUCACGUUUCUUCUCUCUCCUUCUAUAUAUUUUUGUGGUAUCCUUCGUUUACUCUUUUUAAUGACUAAAUAAAUAAUUUUCUAAAACAAUAAUUUCUUCUAUUAUCUGAAAUUCUCAUGCAACCUUUUAUAAAAUAAAAUAGAGAUCUCACAUUUCUUCUCUCUCCUUCUAUAAGAAAAAUCACUUUUCCCUUUUUAUUAUAUCCGCUUUCCUUUUCCUCCUCUUUCUCUCUGUCUCUGUCACUAACGUUUCCUUCUUUCUCAAUUUUUUUUUAAAAUAUCUUUUAUUUAACUUGAAAAUUUAGUUACUCCCUCACUCCCUCUGGACCCUAACCUUCUCUUUCUCUUAGAAUAGCGUGAAGAGAAAACAGUUCAUCUCUGCACCUCUUCGUCACUCCCUCUUCUUUGAUAGCAGUGUCGUCCGUAGGUAACUAAAUUACUAACCCUCUCUCUUUUAGAUUAUUUUUCUCCUUUUUUUCUUAGAUUGCAGAUCAAUCCUCACUUUCACUGUUUCCACCCUCUCUCUUCUCUUUUCCUUCUCUUUGAGGGAAACACAAGAAAAAGAAGAAGAGAAAUUUAAGAGGCUUGCAAGGAACCCUAACUCCUGUAAACAGUUACCUCUCUCUCUAGCAAUGGAUUUUUUUUUUUCCUGCAAUUUUCCUUCAAGAGGGAAAUCAUUCAACUUUAACUCUCCUCCAAGAGGGAAAUCAGGUCGCUCUUGCUCCAUGGUGCUAUUGAAGGCCGAUGUGGAACUCACCAUUGUUGGGGAGAAGCUGUUUUGUUUUGAGAAUCUCUCUCGGAAUUUAUGUCGGUAUGCACUAGAAUUUCUAUCUCCGAACCUUAAGUCAACUCUUUUUUUUUUUUUUCCCUUAAGUUCUUAAAGAUAAUCCUUAUGUUUAAAAUGUGUUCCAUUUGGCUGAAGUGUUCAUUAAUCCUUAUGAAAAGUGCCAUCUGGCUGAAGUGUGUUGAUCAAAUUGAAGGAAAAUUUAUGUACUGAAGUGUAGGUUUGUCGGAACUCUUUACUUAGAGGUGGAUGCUAAUUUUGUAUUCUUUAAGUGGGAAGUUUUACUUGAUCAUCAACAAUUGGCUUCAGGUUGUUGCACUUUGCAACUUGUGUGAGGCUUCUGGAUCAUGGAAAUAGUUGAG